CCUACGGGUGGCAGCAGUGAGGAAUAUUGGACAAUGGGCGCGAGCCUGAACCAGCCAAGUAGCGUGAAGGAUGACUGCCCUACGGGUUGUAAACUUCUUUUAUAAAGGAAUAAAGUGAGGCACGUGUGCCUUUUUGUAUGGACUUUAUGAAUAAAGAUGGGUUAACUCCGUGCAAGCAGCCGCGGUAAUACGGAGGAUCCGAGCGUUAUCCGGAUUUAGUGGGGUGAAAGGGAGCGUAGAUGGGUUGUUAAGUCAGUUUUGUAAGUUUGCGGCUCAACCGUAAAAUUGCAAUUGAUACUGGCAGUCUUGAGUACAGUUGAGGUAGGCGGAAUUCGUGGUGUAGCGGUGAAAUGCUUAUAUAUCACGCAGAACUCCGAUUGCGAAGGCAGCUUACUAAACUGCCACUGACAUUGCUGCUCGAAAGUGUGGGUAUCAAACAGGAUUAGAUACCCGUGUAGUC
rnacentral:rRNA from 1 species